UUCUUUUUUUUUUUUUUUUUAAGUUAUGUUUAAGGGUCUGGCAGACUGGGAGGUGAAUGUGAUUGGGACGUGCAUAUGUGAAAUUUCCAAAUAAUCAAAAAAAAUUAAGUUAAAAAAUAAAUAUAAAACAAGCCUUAAGUAGUUGGACAUGGUGGGACACCCAUCCGACCUCAUCUCUGUUAGUUCCAAGCUAGCCAGGUCUAUGUUAUGAUACCCUGUCAAGAAGAAAAAACGUAGUAAAGGCUACUAAUUGGUUUAAGAAUUGAGCGGGCUCCCUCCCUCCUUCCCUUCCGUAGCCAAAGGAGUAAUAAAAAUAAAUUUAAAUAACGUUUUUAUGGAACAGUUAUGUUCUGUGUUUGAUCAGUUGUAGGAAACUUCUAAAAGUGGUCUUAGUUGUAAGCUUACAAAAAUAAUGCCAGCCUUUUGCAGUAGAUACUUAGAUUUUAUUCCUUUUAUUUUUCUCUGGGCCCAGCUUUGUUGUUACAUUUACUGAUUUACACUACUAAACAUUUUUAGUAGGUUUAUAGAUAACAAAUUUGAAAAAAACAAAUCAAAGUAACUUGUUUUUUUAAUUCUUUAUUUUAGUGUAUGUACAUUAGUGUUUUGCUUGCAUGUACGUUUGUAUGAGGGUGUGGAAUUCCCUGGAAUGGGUAUUAUGGACAGUUGUGAGCUGCCAUGUGGGUGCCAGGCAUUGCACUUGGGUUCUUUGGAAGAGCAGCCAGUGCUCUAACCAUUGACCAUCUCUCCAGCCCCAAUUUGGUUUUGUUAAGACACAUAUUCUUUGAUGUGUACAAGCAAAGAAAGUAGACUCUUAGAAAACCUAUCUAGAGAGAACUAACUAUAACAGAUAUGGGCUGCACACACAUGAUGUCAGCUUGCAGGGUUAUUUAAAUAGCUUGGGCUAAGUUUGUAGCUCUGUUACAGAGUAUCUGCCUGCCUCACACUUGACCCGCAGUUGCUAUCCAGCUUCACAUAAAGGAGGCAUGGUGAUGCACACCUUAACACCAGGGAGGAGGAGCAGGAGGACCCAAAGCUGAAACCAUCCUCGGCUACAUACUGGGGUCAAGGAGACCUGUCUCAAAGCACAAGACUAAUCAAAGUAAAUAAUAAUAACAUAAAGGCAGUGUCAGUGGGGUGCAGUGGGGCAUGCUUCUGCUCCCAGCACUCAGGAGGCUUCAUGGAGGAGUCGACUUUUUGAUGUGAAUAAAAAGGGUGUAUAAUCACCCUUUUAAUUGCACACCAUAUACCGGAAUUAGUUUGUGAUUUAAGUUUUGCUUUUUAGUUAAAAUACCCCAAAUAUUUGUCUAUAUCCAUCAUUCAUGAUUUUUUUAUAGUUACUAUGUAAACACACUUUAUUUAUUUGAGUAUUUUUCUUUUGAUUAAUACUUAUAUUUUAAAUUUUUGUCUUUAUUGAACUGUAGCAAUUAACCUUAUGCUGGUAUCUUUGCAUGUUUAUAUCACAAUUUCAGGAAAUAGAUUCAUAAAUUCAUGUCAUUGGGUCAAAAGGAUAAUUCUUUUUUCUCUCCAUUUAUUAGGUUUUCUUGAGGUGUAGUUGAUAUAACAAAAGUGUACAUUUGAUGACUGUUUGGAUGAGUUUGGAGGGAUUUGCAUUUUAAAGUUUGGUAAAAAUUGCCAGAUUUGUUUAUUGUGCAAUUUAUAAUACCCAUUAAUGGAAAGAUGAAAUGUUAUUGAAUGAAUGAGUACAUGAAAUGUGUCUGGAACAACUGGGGUUGAAAUGAUUUCCAGAGAUGCUCAGAGAGAGUAGAUAGGUUUGUUUGUUGUAGGUUGGUUUAGUUUGGCUGGGCACUGGGCUUAGGGGGUCCUUGAUCUCUGCUUCCCAAAUCCUGGGGUGAUAGAUAGGCCACCACUUCUGUCAAGUAACGUUUUGUUUUGUUUUGUUUUCCAAGGUAGUGUUUUUCUGUGUAGCCCCCACUGUCCUGGAACUUACUCUGUAUAGACCAGGGUGGCCUCGAACUCACAGAAAUCCUUCUGCCUCUACAUCCUGAGUGCUGAGAUUAAAAGGUGUGUGCCACCACACUUGGCUUCCUAUGCCACCUUAGUAGCUACCCAUAUCACAGCCUCAGGUACUCACUACCACCAUCAUAGGAAAGGCCAAAUUAUGGAGCCAUAAUGAGUGUUGAAUUAUUAGUAAAUAUUUUACAGUAUUUUAUUUAUUUAUAUUUUAUAUAAUAAUACUGGUUUGUUUACUGUCUUACAUGAUCCUAAAUGCUAAAAAUCCAGAAUGCUCUGAACUCCAGCUUAUUGAUAUAGCAUAUGUUGGUACUCAUAAUUUUCAGACUUCUGGACAUCUUGAAUUGUGGGGUUUGGUUUAGCAAUGUUGAGUAGGUAAUCCAGGCAGACAGAUGUCAGAAGUACCUGGUGAUUGUAGUGGGGCAGGCUUGUAAUCCCAGACCGUGGUACGUGAAGGCAGGAGAAGCUGGCAUUGAGAACCAUCCUAAAGGCCAGCCUCUACCUCUAGUGAAUUUGAUGCCAGCUAUAUUGAGACCAUUGUCUCAAAAGAAUUGAGAUGGGAGGAGCCAUACUCCUAUCCCCAGCAUUCCAGACAAAGGUUUCCAAGCAGUAAUGCUGUUUGACCGUUAAAUUAGCUAAAUAUUUAACUGGAGCAUAUUUGUCUUAUUUAAAAGUGUAUGAUAUCAAUCCAUGGACUUGUAAUACACAAUAGAAACUGUAAUUUAUUUUAAGCAUGACAAGAUAUUUUGGAAGCAUUUAUUAUGUUCCAGUUAUUUAACUUGACACAUGGGAAACAAUGUUGACUAUUUCUAAUAAUAGUGACAAAUACAAUUUAGAGCAUAAUAAUAAUCAUUAUUUAUUGGUCACUGUCCUAGGAAAACACUAAAUGCCCUUUAGUCUUAAUGCCCUUAGUAAUAGACCUCAUUAAACAGAUACUUUAUAUAGUUUACAUACAACAGAACAGAAGUUUAGGAAAUGUUAGUAGAUUAGAAACCAUUUCUUUUUGAUUAAACAGCCUGGAUGAAGUUUUAAUUAACUAUAUUAUACUAUACUGGUAAUGAUUGUCUCUCAUAUAAAAGGUUUUACAAUGUUUCUAAGAAGCACAGCAUUUUUUGUUACAUAAGGUCAAUCACCAAUUGUGCUGCAGUUACCUGUCUUUUUCUGAAAGAGAAAAUAAUAAGUAAUAAGUUACAGUCUUACUUUUUUUUUAAUUCAGGAUGUUUAAAAGUUAAAAAUAGCAAUUUAAAAAACUUAAGAAGACUAUAUUUCUUUUCAUUUGGUGAAAGUAAAUAUCUAAAACAUAGAACUAUGUAAAAAUUGUGUGUAUUAGACAUUAUAUUGUAAUGUGUACUUUUAUAUUGUUAUUUAUCCACUAGAAAUAUACAAACGUACAUUUCUUUGAAAAUGGUUCUUAAUGGAUGCAUAAUACUUCACGUGUAUAUUGACGUCUACUUAAUCACUACUAGACUGUGAGUCACCAUUACUUCUCAUGUGUUUUAAAGUUGUGUCAUAGAGAAAAACCAAAAGAACGGUGCUGUGAAUUUCAGUAUUGAGAGUCUCUGUCUCUCCAAAACCAGCAUUGACAAACGGAACACUCACAGGCAGUUAGCCGUCUUUUGGUACAAAUAGCAGCUGCCUUUGCCUGGGUCUUUUUUUUUUUUUUUUCCUCUAGAAACUAUAAAAAAGAAAGAAGAAUAAGGGGGGGGGGAAACCAUUAACCUUCAUUUUCACUGAAAUGAAAGACUAUGAUUAGUUACAGCUAUCAGAAGCAUCUGAGACGCGCAGACAGUGUGUGCUUCCUGGAGGGAGGGAGUGGGGAGGGGCUCAUGGUGAAGUCAUCUGUAGUGAGAGUCCAUGGCAGAAUAUCUAGUCUGAUCUAAGAAGGAAGAGAAAGUAGAGCAGUGCAGCAGCAUACAGUCACGUGCUCAGAAACAGCUGGUCUCUGGCAUUGGGAGGUCUCAGCCCUCUGACACCUGCCCUGCCCAAUCACUUGGAACCAGUGUAUUCUGUUUUGUGUGUGUUUGUUUUUUAAAAAGCAGUCAUGGUAGCAAAAACUUAAACCAAAGCACAAAAGGACGCAUUAGAAAGGGGGGGGGGGGGGCGUGAUAUGCAUGAGAUUGAAGGUCUCGCUUUACAGCCCAGGCUAGCCUAGAAUUUGUGGUGGUCCUCAUGCCUUGACCCCUCAAUUAGAUGUGUAAGCUGCCUACCAUGUGUGGUUUCUCCUCCACUACCCCCUCCCCCCACCCUAUUUGAGUUUUGAGACAGUCUCUCUCACUGUGUACCUUAGAUGUCUUAGAACUCACUUAAUAUAAACCAGAAUAUCCUCAAACUUGCAGUGGUCCUCUAUCUCUGUCUAACAAGAGCUAGGCUUAGAGGUAUACACAGCUGUACCGGGAGUUGGAAAAAUCUGUAAAAGUUUCUGUAAAAGAUGAUCCAAAAUUAGGAGUAUAGGAACUCAGGAAAAAUAUGGUAAACUAACAGGAGAUGGAAUAUGAAUUGUGAAAAUUCAGAAAAGAACUCAAAAAGGC
rnacentral:lncRNA from 1 species